GGUUUUCUGGUUCUGCUUCUGGCACUCCUUGGCAUUUCCAUGAUCACAACUCAGGUUAUGGCAACAGAUUCUGCUUAUCACUUGGAUGGAAGGAAUUAUGGACCUGGGAGUCUCAAGAGCUCACAGUGCCCUUCUGAAUGCACAAGAAGAUGAAGCCAGACACAGUACCACAAGCCCUGCAUGGUCUUCUGCAAACAAUGCUGCAAAAGGUGCCUUUGUGUUCCUCCUGGCUACUAUGGGAACAAGUCUGUGUGCCCCUGCUACAAUAACUGGAAGACCAAGCGUGGAGGACCCAAAUGCCCCUGAAAAUUGAAAAUAUAAGCAUAAUUUCACCUACAAUUUCAUAUAUACUACUCAAAGUGGAACUAUAAACUAUAUAUAUAUAUAUAUAUAUGGCCAUUUCUAUGUUUUGGGCAGCACCUACUACAGUUGGGUUGUCACUAGACUAAUACCAUCUUGUUCUCUACCAUGAAAUUAGUUCAAUUAUUAAUUUCAUGAAGAAACCUAUAUGUUACUCCCUUUCCUAAACAGGUAUGAGAGGGGUGUUCUACUAAUUAGUCAAUUAUCUUUGUCAUUGUACUUUUUUUAGUUUUAUAUAUAAUGAAGUUAUUUUAUAAUUUUUGUCUGAUAUAAUAUAAUGUAUUACGACAGACAUGUCAUGUAGGUAAGAGGAUCUAUAGAUCCAACCUAUGUCAGCAAAAAGAAAGAAAAAUAUGUAGAUCCAACCUUAUUUUAAUUCUUG